AACUUUUAACAAUGGAUCUCUUGGUUCUGGCAUCGAUGAAGAACGCAGCGAAAUGCGAUAAGUAGUGUGAAUUGCAGAAUUCAGUGAAUCAUCGAAUCUUUGAACGCACAUUGCGCCCCAUGGUAUUCCGUGGGGCAUGCCUGUUCGAGCGUCAUU
rnacentral:rRNA from 6 species